UACGGAGGGUGCAAGCGUUGCUCGGAAUCACUGGGCGUAAAGAGCGUGUAGGCGGUUUCGUAUGUCUGACGUGAAAGCCCCGGGCUCACCCCGGGAAGUGCGUUGGAAACUGCGAGACUAGAGUCCCGGAGAGGAAGGUGGAAGUCCAGGUGUAGCGGUGAAAUGCGUAGAUAUCUGGAAGAACACCGGUGGCGAAGGCGGCCUUCUGGACGGUGACUGACGCUGAGACGCGAAAGCGUGGGGAGCAAACAGG
rnacentral:rRNA from 1 species